UUUCACUCGAAGCUUCAAAGAAGGGAUUUCUAGCUUGCAAAGGACCAAUUGCCUGAUGGAUUGUCAUGUACAUCAAAGAAGCUUGUAAGAGUAAAAGUGUACACUGUAGGCAUAAAUUUUACAAGAAGAAGGUUUGCUGAGCUCCUCCUAGUAUUAUCCAACUUGGUCACCUGGAUCUCUCCCUAGGAAUAUCUCUGUAGGAAUAUCUCUGUUUUGAUCCUCUUUUAUUCUGUUUGUGUUAUCUGAUUUAUGGCUGCUAGAGAGGAAAAUAAUAAACAUUAUUAACUCAAUGGAAUUCUGUCGUGUGCCUUU